AACGAACGCCGGCGGCAGGCUUAACACAUGCAAGUCGAACGAGAUCUUCGGAUCUAGUGGCAGACGGGUGAGGAACACGUGGGAACAUCCCUUUCAGUUCGGAAUAACGUUGGGAAACUAACGCUAAUACCGGAUACGUCCUUCGGGAGAAAGAUUUAUCGCUGAAAGAUUGGCCCGCGUCUGAUUAGCUAGUUGGUGAGGUAAUGGCUCACCAAGGCUACGAUCAGUAGCUGAUCUGAGAGGAUGAUCAGCCACAUUGGGACUGCGACCCGGCCCAAACUCCUACGGGAGGCAGCAGUGGGGAAUAUUGGACAAUGGGCGCAAGCCUGAUCCAGCCAUGCCGCGUGAGUGAUGACGGCCUUCGGGUUGUAAAGCUCUUUUGUCCGGGAAGAUAAUGACUGUACCGGAAGAAUAAGCCCCGGCAAACUUCGUGCCAGCCGCCGCCGUAA
rnacentral:rRNA from 1 species